GGUUGGCGGUGGUGUGGCCAGCACAGGCUGGGCCCAGGAUGCAGCGGAUACCGUCGCGGAGGGGUUUGAUCCCCUUCGUCCGCCGCC
rnacentral:tRNA from 1 species